rnacentral:rRNA from 1 species
ACGCCUAAACAUGCAAGUCGAACGCAGUAGCAAUACUGAGUGGCAAACGGGUGAGUAUAAUGUGGGAAUCUGCCUUUUGGUCUGGAAUAACACGGGGAAACUUGUGCUAAUACCGAAUAAGCCCUUACGGGGAAAGUUUUAACGCCGAAAGAUGAGCCCGCACUUGAUUAGCUAGUUGGUAAGGUAAAAGCUUACCAAGGCAACGAUCAAUAGCUGUUCUUAGAGGAAGACCAGCCACAUUGGGACUGAGACACGGCCCAGACUCCUACGGGAGGCAGCAGUGGGGAAUCUUGCACAAUGGGGGCAACCCUGAUCCAGCAAUUCCGCGUGUGUGAAGAAGGCCUGCGGGUUGUAAAGCACUUUCAGUAGCCAAGAUGGGAUUAUUCGCUAAUAUCGGAUGGUCUUGACAUUA